GCUAUUCCACCCCUCCAUUUGAGCUGAUUUCAUUUGUGGAGGGAGAUAUCCAUCACCCCAUUUUCGUGCACUAUUCAUCCAAGGUGGAAAAAGUGAGUUUUUGAUGGAGCUUGGCUUGGAGGUUGCUUUCUAGGCUUUGGGAAGUUGAUUAAUGGUGUACCUAGGGACUAAAAAGGAAUCAGAAUCUCUUGAAGAUAUAUAAGUAACUUGUGAAACAAGUAAGGGUAUUGGUAAAGCUUCAAGAGGUGCCCAGAUUCCCGGUGAGUCCUCACUAGGCAGGGACGCGACACGUGGCUGAGGCAGUUGACAGAU